rnacentral:piRNA from 1 species
GACUGUAAUCCUAAAAGACCCAAAGAGC